rnacentral:rRNA from 1 species
UAAGCAUAUCAAUAAGCGGAGGAAAAGAAACUAACAAGGAUUCCCCUAGUAGCGGCGAGCGAAGCGGGAAGAGCUCAAAUUUAUAAUCUGGCACCUUCGGUGUCCGAGUUGUAAUCUCUAGAAAUGUUUUCCGCGUUGGACCGCACACAAGUCUGUUGGAAUACAGCGGCAUAGUGGUGAGACCCCCGUAUAUGGUGCGGACGCCCAGCGCUUUGUGAUACAUUUUCGAAGAGUCGAGUUGUUUGGGAAUGCAGCUCAAAUUGGGUGGUAAAUUCCAUCUAAAGCUAAAUAUUGGCGAGAGACCGAUAGCGAACAAGUACCGUGAGGGAAAGAUGAAAAGCACUUUGGAAAGAGAGUUAACAGUACGUGAAAUUGUUGGAAGGGAAACGCUUGAAGUCAGACUUGCUUGCCGAGCAAUCGGUUUGCAGGCCAGCAUCAGUUUUCCGGGAUGGAUAAUGGUAGAGAGAAGGUAGCAGUUUCGGCUGUGUUAUAGCUCUCUGCUGGAUACAUCUUGGGGGACUGAGGAACGCAGUGUGCCUUUGGCGGGGGUUUCGACCUCUUCACACUUAGGAUGCUGGUGGAAUGGCUUUAAACGA